AUGCAGUCGAGCGGACCGACGGGAGCUUGCUCCCUUAGGUCAGCGGCGGACGGGUGAGUAACACGUGGGUAACCUGCCUGUAAGACUGGGAUAACUCCGGGAAACCGGGGCUAAUACCGGAUGCUUGAUUGAACCGCAUGGUUCAAUUAUAAAAGGUGGCUUUUAGCUACCACUUACAGAUGGACCCGCGGCGCAUUAGCUAGUUGGUGAGGUAACGGCUCACCAAGGCAACGAUGCGUAGCCGACCUGAGAGGGUGAUCGGCCACACUGGGACUGAGACACGGCCCAGACUCCUACGGGAGGCAGCAGUAGGGAAUCUUCCGCAAUGGACGAAAGUCUGACGGAGCAACGCCGCGUGAGUGAUGAAGGUUUUCGGAUCGUAAAACUCUGUUGUUAGGGAAGAACAAGUACCGUUCGAAUAGGGCGGUACCUUGACGGUACCUAACCAGAAAGCCACGGCUAACUACGUGCCAGCAGCCGCGGUAAUACGUAGGUGGCAAGCGUUGUCCGGAAUUAUUGGGCGUAAAGCGCGCGCAGGCGGUUUCUUAAGUCUGAUGUGAAAGCCCCCGGCUCAACCGGGGAGGGUCAUUGGAAACUGGGGAACUUGAGUGCAGAAAAGGAGAGUGGAAUUCCACGUGUAGCGGUGAAAUGCGUAAAGAUGUGGAGGAACACCAGUGGCGAAGGCGACUCUCUGGUCUGUAACUGACGCUGAGGCGCGAAAGCGUGGGGAGCGAACAGGAUUAGAUACCCUGGUAGUCCACGCCGUAAACGAUGAGUGCUAAGUGUUAGAGGGUUUCCGCCCUUUAGUGCUGCAGCAAACGCAUUAAGCACUCCGCCUGGGGAGUACGGUCGCAAGACUGAAACUCAAAGGAAUUGACGGGGGCCCGCACAAGCGGUGGAGCAUGUGGUUUAAUUCGAAGCAACGCGAAGAACCUUACCAGGUCUUGACAUCCUCUGACAACCCUAGAGAUAGGGCUUCCCCUUCGGGGGCAGAGUGACAGGUGGUGCAUGGUUGUCGUCAGCUCGUGUCGUGAGAUGUUGGGUUAAGUCCCGCAACGAGCGCAACCCUUGAUCUUAGUUGCCAGCAUUCAGUUGGGGCA
rnacentral:rRNA from 1 species